rnacentral:rRNA from 1 species
CGGGACGGGUGAGUAAUGUCGGGGAAAGUCGCCGAUGGAGGGGGAUAACUACUGGAAACGGUAGCUAAUACCGCAUAACGUCGCAAGGCCAAAGAGGGGGACCUUCGGGCCUCUUGCCAUCGGAUGUGCCCAGAUGGGAUUAGCUAGUAGGUGGGGUAACGGCUCACCUAGGCGACGAUCCCUAGCUGGUCUGAGAGGAUGACCAGCCACACUGGAACUGAGACACGGUCCAG